rnacentral:rRNA from 1 species
UACGGGGGGGGCAAGCGUUGUUCGGAAUUACUGGGCGUAAAGGGCUCGUAGGCGGCCAACUAAGUCCGACGUGAAAUCCCCAGGCUUAACCUGGGAACUGCGUCGGAUACUGGUUGGCUUGAAUCCGGGAGAGGGAUGCAGAAUUCCAGGUGUAGCGGUGAAAUGCGUAGAUAUCUGGAGGAAUACCGGUGGCGAAGGCGGCAUCCUGGACCGGCAUUGACGCUGAGGAGCGAAAGCUAGGGGAGCAAACGGG